rnacentral:lncRNA from 1 species
UCGCCGACCAAUAUCGCAAACCAAAACCAGCAUCUCAAAUAACAACACAAAGAAUCGCCCCCAUUUGCCAUUAUAUACAUAAAAUAAUUUAAAGAUCAAGGCCUCCAUUUUCUCUCUAACUGUUCACUAAAAUUUUUACUUCUCAAACAAAAAGAAUUUUCCUCCUAAACUUUAUUUUCCCUCACAAUACAACUACCCAUCUUCAGAUUUCAUGAAACAGUGCUGGAGCUCCACGAGGGACAGAACAGCCCGUAUGCACAGAGAGGUGAUUCUUGAAGUAUGCUUUGAGUUUGAAGGGUGAAAUGGGUUUUACGUGAAACCAAGAAAAUGCGGAUUUCAUGGAUUUUGUGGGAUGGAUUGUAGGGAUUUGAGAGAUGAGAUUUGUAGCUGCCAUUGUUGGGGGAAAGCGAAGAAAAUGCAAGAGACAAUAAAGAAAGAUGAUGAUUUUUUGGUUUGGGCAGGUUCUUAGAAUUGGAGAUUUCAAUUAAGCCCAGC